rnacentral:pre_miRNA from 12 species
GGACACAUCCAUGUCUCCCAGCCCAAGGUGCAGUGCUGCAUCUCUGGUCAAUUGGGAGUCUGAGAUGAAGCACUGUAGCUCGGGAAGGGAGGAGCUGCUCACCCUG